GAAAGACUAAUAGCCCUAGUUCUUCUGGCAGAGCUAGAACAAUUAGGGCAAAAGUAAUCUAAGAAACAUAUCUGGUCAUUUCUUUGCCAGUCCUGGACACCUUAUGCAUCGACAUGUCAUUAUUCUGGACUGCUUCCUGAUUUAAUCGACUUCCAAAAGCCAUUACCCUUCCCUCACGGCCUCUGCUAACAUACUCAGUCAAGUUAUAUGUGACAAUGUCUGGAAGGGAGGGAACAAUAAGCUUGACCUCUUAAGAUACUCAAAACUAAGAUAGUGGUCAUGGUGCUAUUUCCUCUCAUGUCCAAUGGAGGCAGAGGCAAGUGGUACUUAGUAGAUCUAUCAAAGAACAGUAUACCACAAUGCACUGCCUUUGUAAUUCCCAAGAGACUAGAGACAGGAACUCUGUAAGGGUCUCUGUUCCGAGACUAAAGGUACAGUGGCAUAAACUGAAAACAAUCACAAUGCGAAAGAAAUAACCAUGUGAAAGAAUUAAAAAGAGAGUUGGUGAAAACAUGUUUCCUAUAAAACUAAAUGCACCCUUACCAUAUGAUCCAGCAAUCACACUCCUUGGUAUUUAUCCAAAGGAGUUGAAAACCUAAGUCCACAUAAAAACAUGCACACAGAUGUUUACAACAGCUUUGUUCAUAACUGCCAAAACUUGGAAACCACCAAGGUGUCCUUCAGUAGGUGAAUGGAUAAAAUGAGGUAAAUCCAGACCAUGGAAUUUUAUUCAGCACUAAAAAGCAAUGAGCUAUCAAACCAUGAAAAGACUUGGUAUACAUAUUACUAAAUGAAAGAAGACAAUCUGAAAAGGCUACAUACUGUAUUAUUCCAACUAUAGGACAUUCUGGAAAAGGCAAAACUAUGGAGGUAGUAAAAAUAUCAGGAGUUGGAGGGGGUAGGAAGAACAGACAGAACAUAUAGGAUUUUUAGAGCAGUGAAUACUUUACAUGACACUAUUAUGAUGGAUACAUCAUCAGUUGUAACAAGUGUGCCACUAUGAUGGGACAUGCUGAUGAGGCUGUGCACGUGUGGGUUUACAGACUGAUGGAAAAUCUCUGUACGCUUCUCUUAAAUUAUGCCGUGAACUUAAAAUUGCUCUAAAAGUUUUUCUUUCUUUUCUUUAAAUAAAUUAUUUUCAGUGAAAGCCAGAAUACAGUGUGAAUUCCUAUUACAGAAAAGAAAAAUGAAUUACCACGGUAAAGCAAAGAAAACCCUAAUUUUGUGUCUACUAAUUCAAAAAGAAGUGGGGACCUGUAGGGUUUCUAUCAUUGUACUAUCAACAGAGAAAACCUAUUAAACUUUUUACAUAAACAAAUUUUAGGAAGGAUAUUUAUUUGAACCAUUCAUAAGAAUGAAUGGAUGGGGAGCCCACUGGAAGCAUCUUUUAUAUACAAACUUUCUAUAUAAUUAAACUAAACACAGUGGUACUGGGCCUGCACACCAUACCAACCUGUGGGUUAAGAACUGCUGCUUUUAGGGGUGCCUGGGUGGCUCAGUCGGUUGAGCGUCCAACUUUGGCUCAGGUCAUGAUCUCGCGGUCUGUGAGUUCGAGCCCCACGUCAGGGUCUGUGCUGACAGCUCAGAGCCUGGACCUGCUUCGGAUUCCGUGUCUCCCUCUCUCUCUGCCCCUCCCCAACUCAUGCUCUGUCCCUCUCUCUGUGUCAAAUAUAAACAAACAUUUAAAAAAAAAAAAAAGAACUGCUGCUUUUGCUGAACCUAAAACAUUUUACACUUGUAUUUUAAGGAAAGGAAAGCAGCAGCAAGGGAAAGAAAAAGUGUCACUAACUAAACUAUGAACCAAUGUUUUCUUGUAUCAUUGAUUUUAAAACUCAUCCUUGUUUCAGGAUUGUUAGUAUGGGGGAGGAAGCCCAUCUUAGAAUCAAUGAAGCAUGACAUUCUUUUUUGUUCAUUAAGCAAAACAGUCCAAACUUUCACCAGUGAUUUGAUAACCUUCAUCUAGACACCUAUGUUUUUAAAAAUCAAUUUAGACUUUCUUGAAUUCACACUGGCUUUCUUCCAGUGAACCUAAACCAGGGAAGGGCUUGCUAUUCUUUAGCAACAAAGGAAGCCUUCUAUUUCAGGAAGCUGACUAAAGUAAUAGUGUCUACCAUCACUGAACAGCUGUCUCUAGGAAAGCCCCAUCCAGCUGAGGCUACCGCAUACCCAGGACAUAACAUCAAUCCUGUUUUCUGCACUUGAGCCUUAAGGGAGAAGCGAGGUUCCAGUGAAUGUGCACAAACACGAGAGGCUUGGAGGUACCCAGGCUAACUAAAAUCUUAAGUUACUUCAGCUUUAAUUGAAUUUCCAAGGAACCUCAGCAUGGGUCCCUUAUGGGUAGACACACCAAUCUAUACCCCGUUAAAGACUCUCAAUUGUUAAACAGUCAUCACUGGGAGGUGCCUCUAACAGGAAAAAAAGUCACAUAUACAACAGUCUAUCUAACAAGGGACCAUAUUAUGGACACUAUUAUGUUUUUCAUUUGAAAACCUUUCUAGGCCUGCAUCCACCCAUUUGCCUCAUUCAUGUUAAUGGCUGCAAAGUACCUUACUGAAUAGAUGGAGGGGCCAUAAUUUACUUAUCCAGUCUUCUCUUCAACAUUUUGGUUGACAUGAACAACUUUGUACAGGUAUUUUGGCAAACAUUUGUGUACAUAUCCCUGAGAAAAAUUUCUAGCAAUAGGAUUACUAACUCAAAAGGCAUAUAUAUGUUUAAAGUAGAUAUGCAGUGCCUAAUUGGCCUCCAGGAACCAAGCCAACUGGAAUUCUCCAGAAUGCUGCAUCAACUCAUACUUCAAUUCAUGAUAUGUAACAGGGCCCAUUCUGUGUACCCUUUGUUCUGGAUGUCUUUAUUGGUAUUAACCUUAUGCACACAUAUGAAAUGAUAAUAUUAAUACUUUAUAUAGAGGACUUAAUCUAUAACAGGAAAUACUGAGGGCUUGACAUUUAACUCUUUACAUAGUAGCCAUUAAAAAAAAAAAAAAUCACCAUUAAAUAACGAGCAAGCCAGGGCAGGGACUUCUCCAAGGUCACACAGCUAGUGGGCAGGGGAGUCAGAAAUCAAACCUAUCUUCACUACCUUAUCUUCAAAGUUUUUUUUUGCUCUUCAACACAAAAACAAAAAAUUAGGUAUUGUAAUCCUUUUAUUUAAUGGCCUUCCAAUAAGACCAAAUUGGGCACAGUGACCCUUAAUGAAGAAGAAAAAGUACAAAUUACCACUCUCACGUGUUGCCCUAAUGUAUCUAAUGCAAUAUACUGUUUGUUUCCAAGAGCACGUGGUAAAAAAAUGUAAUAAACCCAAUUGGAACCACUCUAACCAAACACUUGAAUUAAAAGAAAAAAAAGAAGACACUAAAGCUUCCACAUGUAAGCAGAAUAACUGCACAAGAAAGUAAAUUGCACUUCCAUGGAAAACGUUUAUCAAAUACAAUUCAAAUGAAAUUCAAACAGUCUUUAUCACUUUGAUAAAUUUCAAACUCCUGUCCUUAAGGGAUCAGUCAAUAUAAAUAUACUUGUGGUCUGCUGAAUGCACUCUAGCAUCUUAACAUCUCCAAUAUUUACAAGGCACAUUGUGAAAAGAGCUUGGUGAAAAGGAGCUCCACUCCCUCUUCCCUGGGAUGGCAUGCAUGUCCCCCUACUUUCAAAUGCCAUGGUCUCCGAUUUGAUUGUAACACAGAGUUUUGUCAAGUUUCCCUUGCCCUGCAGCCUCAUGAAAUGUUUGGGGGCUUCACCAAAUUAUACACAAAGUUACCAUUAGUUUUUGAGUCACAAAUUUAGAUAGGACUUGUGGCAGGUAUGAGGGAACUUCUGGAACCAACAGGACAGAAUAUCCAGCAACAAUAGAGAUAAAGCAACAAAAAGUCUUCUCAGUCCUAUUCCCUAAAUAACUUUCCCUUAGAGGGGUUCUUGGCUAGUGGGCAGGCUUCAGGAAAUUUCUAGGCCCCAUGAGUUCCAAGAAGGAUUUCAUGGUAGAAAAUCCUUUUUGGAAAUAUUCCUUAAAAACUAUCACACUGCCAGAGGUACCAGAAUACAGUAGAAAACAACCACUCCAAGGAGUCAAGCACCAUCCUUACUUUGCAUUUAGUAUAGAUUUAUGAAACCCACCACCCAAAGCUAGACUCUGUGCUGGGCACUUGCCUGGCAGCUCAUCUACUCAAAGCCAUGCCUACUUCACAGACAGGACUACUGAAGCACCGGCAUGCCAGAGGGCAAGGAGAAACUGGCAGAGGGGGAAGAUCAGGAUGAGGACAAGACACGACUUACUGUCUAAAGACUACCCAUGAAUGCUGCAGACUGACACAUCCUCUCCAAUCCACGGUGCACAAUUAGAGAUGCUGUGAACUGUACAAGGGCUAAGGACUGGAGACCAGUAGGGGCCUGCCUAGUUCAAAGUGGGGUUCCUUGUGAUGACAGCCAGUCACUUCCCUAGCAAGUCUGUGUCAGGUGAGAUGGUUAGACAUCUCUAGUUCCCCACCCUACCAUGAAAAGAUGCUCAAAUUUCCAUGGGUGAGGUGGGUGUGUGAAGGUAUAAAAGAGUGUGAAUGCCAACAACUAACUAGUCAGUUGAGGAGAACUCUGCACAGAAAUCUGCUUGUAUCCUCCCCUUCAUCCCAUGCCCCUAUAAAGCACAGAAGAAUUAUGAAUAUUAAUCAUUUGAUACUAAGCAAGCCUGUGACAAAACCUGUAGACCUCUGAAUUCACAUACUCUAAAACACCAACACUUCCUGACUCAGAGAACUGUUCUGUAUUUUUAUUUCCUAAAUAGCAACGGUCUAGACUCCUUUCCAUCAAAGUCAGCCCUUAUACUUUCCCACAUUUGCAUAAAAAUUGAACAUGCUCACCAGAUAAAAGCAUAUCUGUUAAAGAAUUUAAUUUCUCUUUACCAUUCUUCUGUUUUAUGUCAUAUACCCUAAAGAUACUGCCUGGAUGCCACUAAAUGCUACUGCAGAAGCCUCUUUGUUCUCCAAUUUGAAGAAUGUUGCAUGAGGGACAUUUGAUUCUAUUACAUUUUAUUUUGCUGUAAGAAGGACUGAAAAUCCCUUGAGACCAAGCGUGAGAUAUAUACCCAACCUGAUCACAAGAAGCUUCUCUGGGGAACCAGCUCAUUACCUGAGACAGCCAAGAAGUCAUCAAUGGAAGUAAUGUCAUCGACAGCAUCUGUGAGAACACGGACUUGUUUUUCCCACUGUUCUUUAAAAAGAUCCAUGUUCUCUUGGGCCAGUUUACUCUGUGGUUUUGCUGCUAAAGCCAAUGCAGCAUUGAUAACCUGCAAAGAUAUUGAAGUUCAUUUUUUACUCUUCCAGAGGCAUGAAAAGAAGAUAGGUCAAUACACUGGUGAUGGCUUUGUCUCAUAGGCAUUUCACAAGGAUCCAUGAUACCACGUGUUCCACCACAACACUUAUGAAGAUGAAGAAGUAUUAAACAAUAAGUAGCAGAUGUGAGGGUAAAAGAAAAUACAUUGGAAAUGCAGAUACACAGUAAGACAAAUGAAAACAUCUCCAACCUCUCCACUCUGUGACAGCAACUUUUGAAAAUGUUUGACAUUAUAUUCCAGCCUUUAUGCUAUACACAAUACCCAUACACAAGUACAUCCCAUGACAAAAAUAUAAAAUUCCAUGCUACAUAAGACUAUCUUGUUUCUUCUUCAACAUUAACUAUUUCUUAUCCCAUCUUCUGGAUUUACACUGUUAUUUUCCUAUUACACGAUUUCUAGGUUUCAUAGAGUUACCCACUAUUCUUAAUAAUCUGAUGAUGAACGUUUGCUAUUUCAGGUUCUGAAGUUUAAAAAGUAAUCUGUACAAAAAGCACCUGGCUUGAGAUAUAAUUCACAUACCAAAAAAUUCACCAAUUUAAACCUUACAAUUCAGUAAUUUUUAGUAUAUUCACAGUUGUGCAACCAUUACCACAAGACCACUUUCAUCACUCCAAAACAAACCCCAUCUACAUCAGCAGCCAUUCCCCAUUUUGCUCAUUCCUUAAAACUACCUACUGGCAACCACUAACUUUACUCUCUUUUUCUGUAGAUUUGUCUAUCCUGGGUAAUUCAUAUAAAUGGAAUCAUAUUAAUAUGUGGGUUUUGUAACUAGCUUCUUUCACUUGAUGUUUUGGAGGUUCUUCCACGCUGGAAAAUAUGUCAGUAUUUCAUUCCUUUCUACUGAUAAAUAAUAUGCCAUUAUACAGAUACACAAGAUUUUAUUUAUCCAUACAUCUGUUGAUCAGUUUAUUUAUCCAUACAUCAAUGAACCAUUUCCACUUGUUUGACCAUUAUGAAAAAAGCUGUUAUGAACAUUCACAUACAUGUUUCUGUGUUUUCAUUAUUUUUGGGUCCAUCAGCAGGAGUGGAAUAGCUGGGUCAUAUGUUUAACUUUAGACAAACUGCCAGACUGUUUUCCAAAGCAGUUGCACAAUUUUACAUUUUCACCAGCAUGUAUGAAGGUUCCAAUCUUCACUAACACUUGUUCUUUUCUUUUUUUCUUUUCUCUCUUUUCUUUUUAAUGAUAGCCAUCCUAGUGGGUGCGAAGUGCUAUCUCAUUGUGGUUUAAUUUGCUUUUCUCUGAUGGUGCAUGAUAUUACACAUCUUUUCCUAUGCUUAUUGACCAUUAGCACAGAUUCUUUGAAGAAAUACCUACUCAAUCCUUUGCUGUUUUCACUCAAUGAGUAAAUAAUGAAAUCGAAUUGAGAGGAUAAUUACUAACAUUUCUAGGUCCAACAUCCUUAUGGGUUAUCAGAAAUAAAUAUACUUAUGAUAAUGCAACUUGGAAGGGAAGCAAAGACAAGAGAAAACUGGUGGUGAUGGAAUUGAGGUCUGGAUGAAGCAGAAAAAUACUUACCACAGAAGCAUUUGGCAUGCAAAGCUGAAGACAGGAUUUGGGACACAUUUUUUUUAGGUGCCACAGGAACCACAUGCCUAUAGGUCUUAAUUCCCAAUAUACUGCAGCAGUAUUCAAGAAUUUUAUUCAACGCAGUCAACAAAGACUUGUAAACAAACUGAAGAAUCACAGCUACUAGACUGACGCAGCUAUUCCUCUUCCCUCCUAAACAACUCAAACUGACAGACCAACAAGAUUAUAAACUACAGACUCAUAGGCAUAAGGGACUGGGCCAGCUACUUAUUAUUAACAGCCCGUUUAUAAAAGCAUAUGGGUUUGGACAAUCAAGUAUUGUAAGAAGAGCUAUCCCACCAUCUUUCCAUGUGUUAUACUGUGGUCUUCCAUAUUUUCAUCACUUCAAGACUUGUUCUUUGCCUCUCUUCCCUCUCGCCAUUCACUUCCCACCAGGUGAUUCACCACUGUGGACUACUCUCUUCACUACUUAACUCACUGAUUCACCAAUGCACCAAUGAAUCAGAGCAGAGCUAGACUGUAUAAGAAUACUUGGCUGAAAAAAAUGUUUCCUAAGAUAGCCAAGUAAACACGGGCAGGGAAUUAAUUAUAUGUUUUAAAUACGAGGAUAAUUCCUCCAUUACAAAAAGAAAAUUGCUCUCUUUGUUCUGUAAUAUAUCUUAUCUCAUACAGUAUAAUGGAGAAAAAGCACCUUAUCUAAGGUUAACUUUCUCAUUUUCAUUACAAACUAUUUACAAAGGACACUUGAUAAAUUAAAUACUCAUUUCUGAUGACUCUGACUCUGAGUAAAUUAGAAAGAUUCUGAACAUACUACUUUAAAUAAUCAUCAAACAUUAUACUUUGUGGUGAAAACUAGAAUCAUUUACCUUAAAAAAUAGAUGUUAUUAAUGUUAUACUUACUGUUACCAUUAGUUAAACAAUAAUAUAAUGAUCUUUCUAGCCAAUGAAAUCAAAUGGGAAAUAGAAAUAAAAGAAAAAGCUGUUAGAAAGGAGACCACCAAAUGACUUUUCAAUACAGAUGAUCUCUGUUUAUCUAGGAAACUGAAGAGAGUCACCCCCCAAAAAUUUAGUAUUAUACAGAGUUCAUUAAGGAAGCUACAGACAAUAUAAAUAUAUAUUAAAAAAUCAAUUUUUUAUAUACUAGAAAAAAGAAAGGAAAAUGAAAGGAAUGUCAAAUCUUUAUGAAAGCAAUUAACGGGAAAUAAAGGGGACUAGAUCUCUGAAGAAACCCACAGUAUUAAAGUAACAGUAAGUGAUUUAACUUUUCUGAGGAAUAUUACAAAAACUCAAAUAAACAAACAUAUUCCAUGUUUAGGCAUAGGAAGACUGACCUACUUACUCACAAAUUAAUCUGGAACAAUAAACAGCUAGGAAUAGACAAAAAACCUUGGAGAAAGAGAGCAAGAGUAAUGGAAGAGAGGUAAUUAAAAUGUAAUACAAAGCUAAAAUAAUUACAAUAGAAUCAUCUAAAAAUAGACACUGUCAUAGUGAAUGAAAAAAGUUAACAUCACAUACAAGUAGGGAUUAACAGUACAUUGGUUUUGUAUUUGAUGGACUAUCUGGAGAAAAAUAAAGUUAAACCCUCACUUCAUGCUUAUAUUUAAAAGCUAACAAAGCUAAAGAAUCUAUUUAUGGGGGCGCCUGGGUGGCUCAGUCAGUUAAGCCUCUGACUUCGGCUGAGGUCAUGAUCUCAUGGUUUGUGAGUUCAAGCCCCACAUCGGGCUCUGUGCUGACAGUUCAGAGCCUGGAGCCUGCUUGGAUUCUGUGUCUCCCUUUCUCUCUGCCCCGCCCCCGCUCACGCUCUCUUUCUCUCAAAAAUGAAUAAACAUCUAAAACAAUUUAAAAAAAAAAAAA